AGCCCUGUAACUCAGUGGGGAGAGUGCCGCUCUUACAAAGAGGAAGUCGCAGGUUCAAAUCCUGCCGGGGCUACCA
rnacentral:tRNA from 1 species